AGGUUUUUGUACGGCCACUUAAUGAGUUUGUAUCACUGUGGUGGACUUUUGGUGGAGGAACCAAACUCAUCAUUAACUCUGGCACCAUGGUCAGGCCCUCAGUCUCUCUGCUUCCCCCCUCCUCUGAGCAGCUCUCUGGGGGCUCGGCCACGCUGGCCUGCCUGCUGACCGGCUACUCUCCUCAGGGAGCCGUGGUGAGCUGGCAGGUGGACGGUACGGAGGUGACGGAGGGGGUCCUGAGCAGCUCAGAGGAGGAGAAGAGCGGCCGCUACAGCAGCAGCAGCACCCUGAGCCUGAGCCAGGAGCGCUGGAUGGAAGGAGAGCUGUACUCCUGCAGGGUCCUCCAUCAGGGCCACAGCCAGACCCAGUCCCUCCACAGGAGCCAGUGUAAGGGCUAGAGGGGCCGGCUGAAGCCCAGGACAGGAGCUCUGUGUGGGGGGGGAGCAGCUCUGAUCAAUAGCAGUUUGAAUGCUUGUAGAGGAAACUGAAGCUUUGUGUGACAGAGAACAACACUGCUGUAAAGUGUUGGACAACAACAACUUAGAGAGGAAUGUGUGUCGCUCAGCAGCUUCAUGUGAGUGAGCUUAAUAACUGUCAUGUUGAUCACUGAUGUUGUUGCUAAUAAAGAUUUCACUGAUACAUAACUUCA